rnacentral:rRNA from 1 species
AUUGAACGCUGGCGGCAGGCCUAACACAUGCAAGUCGAACGGUAACAGGAAGAAGCUUGCUUCUUUGCUGACGAGUGGCGGACGGGUGAGGAAUGUCUGGGAAACUGCCUGAUGGAGGGGGAUAACUACUGGAAACGGUAGCUAAUACCGCAUAACGUCGCAAGACCAAAAAGGGGGACCUUCGGGCCUCUUGCCAUCGGCUGUGCCCAGAUGGGAUUAGCUAGUAGGUGGGGUAACGGCUCACCUAGGCGACGAUCCCUAGCUGGUCUGAGAGGAUGACCAGCCACACUGGAACUGAGACACGGUCCAGACUCCUACGGGAGGCAGCAGUGGGGAAUAUUGCACAAUGGGCGCAAGCCUGAUGCAGCCAUGCCGCGUGUAUGAAGAAGGCCUUCGGGUUGUAAAGUACUUUCAGCGGGGAGGAAGGGAGUAAAGUUAAUACCUUUGCUCAUUGACGUUACCCGCAGAAGAAGCACCGGCUAACUCCGUG